rnacentral:rRNA from 1 species
AUUGAACGCUGGCGGCAGGCCUAACACAUGCAAGUCGAGCGAGUGGCGGACGGGUGAGUAAUGUAUGGGGACUGCCCGAUAGAGGGGGAUAACUACUGGCAACGGUGGCUAAUACCGCAUACUGUAGGAUAACCCAAAUGGGAUUAGCUAGUAGGUAAGGUAAUGGCUUACCUAGGCGACGAUCCCUAGCUGGUCUGAGAGGAUGAUCAGCCACACUGGGACGGAGACACGGCCCAGACUCCUACGGAGGCAGCAGUGGGGAAUAUUGCACAAUGGGGGCAAGCCUGAUGCAGCCAUGCCGCGUGUAUGAAGAAGGCCCUAGGGUUGUAAAGUACUUUCAGUCGGGAGGCGUUACCGACAGAAGAAGCACCGGCUAACUCCGUGCCAGCAGCCGCGGUAAUAC